rnacentral:rRNA from 1 species
CUUGGUCAUUUAGAGGAAGUAAAAGUCGUAACAAGGUUUCCGUAGGUGAACCUGCGGAAGGAUCAUUAUUGAGUAAACUGGGUUUAGACUGUUGCUGGCUCUGCGGGGCAAUGUGCACGCCUAUUCCUAUUUUUACAACCACCUGUGCACUCUAUGUAGAUCUGGAUAACUUUCGAGGUAAAACUCGGUCUGAGAAAUUGCUGUAUAAUACCAGCUUUUCUUUAUUUCCAGGUCUAUGUUUCAUUAUGCUCCAUACAAAGUAUUUGAAUGUAAAAGCUGUACAUGCGUGUACAAAUAAAUCUUACAACUUUCAACAACGGAUCUCUUGGCUCUCGCAUCGAUGAAGAACGCAGCGAAAUGCGAUAAGUAAUGUGAAUUGCAGAAUUCAGUGAAUCAUCGAAUCUUUGAACGCACCUUGCGCUCUUUGGUAUUCCCGAGGAGCAUGCCUGUUUGAGUGUCAUGAAAAUUCUCAACCUUACAAGUUUUCGUUGAAAAGCUAGUAAGGCUUGGAUUUUGGGGAGUUUGCUGGGCUCAUUUGAAGUCAGCUCUCCUUAAAUGUAUUAGCCAAGAUCAUCGUUGAAUCAUCUUUGAUAUGAUAAUUAUCUAUAUCAUCGACGAUACUCAGCAUUUUCCUUCCGAGGAAAAAGGAUCAGGCUUACAACAACUGUCUUCGGGACAAUUAUUGACUCAUUUGACCUCAAAUCAGGUAGGAUUACCCGCUGAACUUUAAGCAUAUCAAUAAGCGGAGGAAAAGAAACUANCAAGGAUUCCCCUAGUAACUGCGAGUGAAGCGGGAAAAGCUCAAAUUUAAAAUCUGGUAGUCUUNGGCUACUCGAGUUGUAAUCUAGAGAAGCGUUAUCCGCGCUGGACCGUGUACAAGUCUCCUGGAAUGGAGCGUCAUAGAGGGUGAGAAUCCCGUCUUUGACACGGAUUACCAGGGCUUUGCGAUGCGCUCUCAAAGAGUCGAGUUGUUUGGGAAUGCAGCUCUAAAUGGGUGGUAAGUUCCAUCUAAAGCUAAAUAUUGGCGAGAGACCGAUAGCGAACAAGUACCGUGAGGGAAAGAUGAAAAGAACUUUGGAAAGAGAGUUAAACAGUACGUGAAAUUGUUGAAAGGGAAACGCUUAAAGUCAGUCGCAUUAACUAGGGAUCAACCUUGCUUCUGCUUGGUGUACUUCCUAAUUGAUGGGUCGGCAUCAAUUUUGACCAAUGGAAAAAGGCCAAGGGAAUGUGGCAUCUUCGGAUGUGUUAUAGCCUUCGGUCGCAUACAUUGGUUGGGAUUGAGGAACUCAGCACGCCGCAAGGCCGGGUUUUAACCACGUUCGUGCUUAGGAUGCUGGCAUAAUGGCUUUAAUCGACCCGUCUUGAAACACGGACC